CUGGCUGCUGCGUUGGGAGUAGGGGGUAAAAGUGGAAGCAGACAGACCGCUGGAAGGGCUACUGCAGGAAUCCAGAUGGAGUCUUGCUCUCUUGUCCAGGCUGGAGUGCAGUGGGGCGAUCUCGGCUCACUGCAACCCCCGCCUCCUGGGUUCAAGUGAUUCUCCUGCCUCAGCCUCCCAAGUAGCUGGGACUACAGCACUGCAAUGAAUGCUGCUGCACACGCUGGUGAGCUCGUGGACACUUUCCUGCUGGGUGAGGACCCGAACAUGAAAUUGCUGGGUCACGGAUUCAAGUGCUACACAUAUUUUUGACCACGUUACUGUGACUCAGGAAGCCCAGGAACAGAAUUCUAGGCACCAGAACCAUACACGUUACAGCCUCUGAGCUUUAUGGCCUCUGAGCCAUUUGUCCAGCCACAUCAUUUGCAGAUGAGAUUCUGAGACUCAGCCUGGAAAAGCGACCGGGGAAAAGUCACACAAGUCAGAGGCAGAGCUGGGGUUUCCUCAUUUUCAGGCCCGUAUGGAUUAAGACGGACGUUGGUCAAACACCUCCUAGUACUCACAUGAAGAAGCUCUCCUUUCUGCUAUAGAAAUGAUCACACACCAUUCCAAUCUGGA